GGGAGCCCCUUCAAAUUCGGCAGCUGGUGCUGGCCCAGCUGGCUGCUACAGAAAUACCUGCAGCUUGUGGACCCCGUGUCAUGGGAUUACAGGAUGGUUUGGGUUGGAAGGGACCU
ensembl:snoRNA small nucleolar RNA SNORA5